rnacentral:lncRNA from 1 species
GCAGAAAAUUAUAAUUACAGGCCAGUAUCAAUUCACACAGUUAGAUGCAAAUAUAUUUGUAUCUAUGUCUACAUCUACAUAUAAAAGUUAUUACAUAUAUACUAGUGGAAUGCUAUUCUAUACCUCUCAGAUGGAGUAAAAAUGAAAUUUGGUAAAACUAACUUGUGACAAGUAUGUGGACCAGCAAGAAUGCUCAUUCCUUGUUGGAGGAAGUGCAAACUAGUUCCACAUUUUGGAAUUAGCUGGGAAAUGAACUGAUGAAGUUGAAUAUGUGUAAAUUGUAUAAUGCAGCAAUUUUAAACCAAGAUGUAUCCUCCAGGGAAAUUCCUGCACGGGUGUACAAGGAUGUUAGAGAAUAGCACAUCCUGAAAUAUCACUGGUGGUAGGCAGCAUUUAAAAGGGGCCCUAGAAGUCCCAACUUCCAGGUAUUCAUGCCCUUGGGAAAUCCUUUCCCCUCAGGUGUGGGCUGGACCUAGUGCUUCACUUCCCAUGUAGAAAAUGGCAAAGAUGGUGGACUGUCACUUUUGAGAUUAGGUAACAAAAAGAAUCUGUGAUUUCUAUUUCUGUCUGGGAGCCUGUACUUUGGGGGAAGGAAGCUGCCAUGUUGUGGCCAACUUUAUACAGAGGGCCAAGUGACAAAGAACUGGUCCAUCCAUCCUAAGUCAUUGAGGCCAGGAGCCUUGUCAAAGUCUUGAGACUCACUUCUACCCUGGAAAGCACUUGGGCCCCAGCCAGCACCUUGACCCCCUGACUAGGGGCCUGUGACAGAUCUGGACUCAGAGACCUCACCACCCCAACAUUCCUGAUCUGCAGAAACUGAGAUAACAGCAAGAAAAGGAGUUUUGUUUUGUUUGCUUUGGGUUCUUUUGGCUUUGAGUUGCUAAGUGUUAGCAGUAAUUUGUCACAUAGCUGUGCAGCCCCCCCCCAACUAGAGAUAACCUAAAUGCCUGUGAGCAUUAGAAUAGAAGAAUUAAAAUAUAAUUUUAAGUCAUAAACAAUGAAAAUGAAGGAUGCAACAAAAAGUCUCAAAAAUUUAAGAAUAUGUACAGGACAACAUUCAUUAGUAUGAACAUUAAAAAAAUAAACAAAAUUAACACAUAUUUUUGGACACAUGCAGAUGUGAUACAACUAUAAAGAAAAGCUAGGGUCUGAUCACAACAAGGGCCUUGACAGAUGUCCUGUUUCAGGGAAGGAGGAGGAAUGAGCCCCCUUAACCCAUUGCGGCAUCUAAGGUGUUACAACGACCUAUUCUUGACCUACAAGAUGGUCAAGCAUUCACUUCAUUAUCCUUUCAUCUGCUCUUCCACGUUGUAUAUUCUUUUCAUUUACAAAUUUUUAAAAAAGCAAAACCAAGCGAAAAAAGAAAACUAUUGCAAUGCAAUCAAUCGAUACAUAAAUAUUUUGGAGGAUGAAAAACGGCCAGAUGGCUGGUCAGUUAGACGCAGACAUUUGUUCUUUAUGUCUAGAUAAGAGCUGUACAUCUUCCAAGUCUCCAUGAGAGUCCAGUUGACAAAGAUCUUUUUUCUCCUGUGUUGUCCUUAAGGCCUUCUCCCUCCCCUGCAGGUUGGGGCAUUCAGAGGCCAGGGCCUGCUGUUUAUCAUCUGGAAACAGAUCUGGCACUGGCUGCUUCAGCCCUAAACCCUAAACCUUCCCGAGGAAGGUUCUCUAGAAGCCGGCGUGCGCCCACCGCCACCUCCCUGAAGUCUCCCAGAAGAAGCGAUCAGAGCCCCGUGGGCGCCUAGAGCACUUGCGACAUGAGGGCUUUUACCUAGGGUGGGGGUUAAGCAGACAGAGCUGUCCUAGAAGAAUUCAAUCCGGCCUCAAGCAGGACACCCCGCCCCCCGCACUGUGGCCUUUGUCACCGCAGGCCUCUUCUGGUGCAGACCUCAUCGCUGAUCGCCACUCACCCUGUGGUCCGCUGUUGCCUGCGGCGCGGGUUCGGGGCAGGCAGGACCAGCAAGGGGCGGGCAGUAGGUGUUUCCCAGUGGAAGGAGCUUUCCGCGGAGGAGGGACCGGACGGUGGACCGGAGGCUGGGCGACGUGGAAAGGAUCAGGCCACAGAAGAACAUUGAUGUCUUGAUAUUUGCUGGGCUGGAUAAUCACUGAUUCAUAGCAGAAGGCAGGCGGAGGUACUUCUAAUAAGCACAAACAAGGGUAAUGUUUUUUCAUUUAUUU